GGAGUCGGCCAGACAGUCGCGGUGCUUUGGCACCGAGGAAAGUCCGGGCUCCACAGGGCAAGGUGCCAGGUAACCCCUGGGGGGCGCAAGCCUACGGAAAGUGCCACAGAGAUCAGACCGCCCAAGCGCUUCACGGCGCCGGCAAGGGUGAAAAGGUGCGGUAAGAGCGCACCGCGCGAGUGGCAACACUUCGCGGCACGGUAAACCCCGCCUGGAGCAAGACCAAAUAGGAAAGCAUUCGCGUGGCCCGCGUGGCUUUCGGGUAGGUCGCACGAGGUGCGCGGUGACGUGCAUCCCAGAUGAAUGACUGUCCGCGACAGAACCCGGCUUAUCGGCCGACUCCAUAU
rnacentral:RNase_P_RNA from 1 species